UACAGAGGUCUCAAGCGUUGUUCGGAUUCAUUGGGCGUAAAGGGUGCGUAGGCGGCGCGGUAAGUCGGGUGUGAAAUCUCGGAGCUUAACUCCGAAACUGCAUUCGAUACUGCCGUGCUUGAGGACUGGAGAGGAGACUGGAAUUUACGGUGUAGCGGUGAAAUGCGUAGAUAUCGUAAGGAAGACCAGUGGCGAAGGCGGGUCGUCUGGACAGUCCUGACGCUGAGGCACGAAGGCCAGGGGAGCAAACGGG
rnacentral:rRNA from 1 species